UGUACCACAGUUGCUUUGAAAACAGCGCACUGGAACCCCCCAGUAACACGAUCUCUCCGUGUAGCUCAGCACCUCGUCUGCACUGCCCAUCACUGCACCGACAGGCUCCGUACAGGCGGGUGGGGACCACGGAGAGGUGAGCAGGCAUGUUUCCGGCUGUAGUCCUCGUCCAAUCGGGUUUUGUGCUGGUCAUGGUGUCCUUGACGUCUCUGGCUGCAAUGUUUGCCGUAUGCGUGUGCUGCCGAAAGAAAGAAUCUAUAAAACAAAACCAGGCUCAAAUUUAUGACCCGCAAAUGUUCGAAAACCAAAGUGAGAGGUUUAGAGUUCUGCGAUCUCCAAGAGCGUCUUAUGGGGGAGUAAGAGUCCUGCCUCCCAUGUCAGAACAGACUCGGUCUAGUUUGCAGAAAAACGCGGAAGCUAUUACUGAUGAACCAACAUAUGUGGAUCCUAUUGCAGAAUCAAUCUAUCAGAAUCUGCCUUUAAUACACUCAUAUCCAGAUGACGACCCAGAAGCAUAUAUAUAUGAAAAUAUGUAUCCAGCUGCAGAAGCUCAAAUCAGCCAGGAGGACUCAGAUAACUCGGAUUAUGAAAAUGUCCUGCAACUAGGAACAAAUCCAGAACAUACAAAAAUAUAAGGGGCAGAAGAAAAUGAAGAAGUGUCUGACGCAUUAAACUCAAACUGACUGUUACUCCCACACGGAGUGGUCCGAGUUCGCCACGGAGGCUUAUGACAAAUGGCUUAGCCACACACCAUGAGGCACAUUAUGCAACUGUUGCGAAGCCAUUCACUCCACAGUCUUUGCUUAUGAGUUUUCCAAUGCAAUGGUGACAAUGUAAGACACGGCUUAAGUGCCUGUCUCAAUAUGUGGAAAGAGCCCAACACAAUACGAGUUCUGACUAAUCAGAGGCCCGAAAACUAAAUACAACCAAUAAAUAUUACGUAGCCCGUUAGGCCUUUGCAUUUGUUAGCAAAUUUACUUCAGCAUUGUUUCAAUACUGUAUACACGUUUUAUGGUUAUGUAAUGUUUACGUUCUAGACAUGCAGUAAUUGUAUGUGCUGCGUUUCAUAUUUAUCAUGUCCAUGUUGUACGUGAGGCUUUUAAUUGAGCCCAAACUGAAAAAUAAAAUAAAAACUGGUGGAA